AUAGUCUACAAAUAACAGGCCAUCGUAGAAUCCUUGACUUCAAAUUGACCUUGAACAUGGCCAACGAUAAGUUACAAAUUUGUAAAAAUCUUUAAUUUUCUGAUUCUGAGCUCUUUUACUAUUUUGAGAUCCACCAUUAGGGCUUCAUAUUCAACACCAUUAUUGAAAGUACUAAAAUUGAAUCUCAGGACCUGCUCAGUUAUGAACCCUUCAGAACUAGCCAAAAUCAAACCGAUGUCAUUUUAUUAGAAAUUUGAGGCCCCAUCCACAUGUAGAAUCUAAAAUGAA
rnacentral:lncRNA from 1 species